AAGAGAAGAGCUUAUCAACUUAGCCAUGGUGACCUGCCUGAAACCAAGAAAUAAAGAAAGGACAGUAAAUUUUUAUAUGAGCUUCCCAAAAUGGUGCAGGCAAGUCAUCCUUGGCUAGAAAAUUAGACUCCUUUCA
rfam:Nicotiana attenuata strain TT scaffold03202, whole genome shotgun sequence.